rnacentral:rRNA from 1 species
GACGAACGCUGGCGGCGUGGAUUAGGCAUGCAAGUCGCGCGACAGGCGGAGCAAUCCGUUAUGGAGCGGCGAACGGGUGAGUAACACGUGAGAAAUCUACCUCUACGUUCCGGAUAAUUGGUCGAAAGACCUUGUAAUACGGGGGAGGCUUCUUUUUAGGCAUCUUUAAGGAAGCAAACGAGCAAUCGGCGCAGAGAUGAUCUCGCGGCUUAUCAGGUAGUUGGUGGGGUAACGGCCUACCAAGCCGACGACGAGUAGCUGGUCUGAGAGGAUGGCCAGCCACAUUGGAACUGAGAUACUGUCCAGACUCCUACGGGAGGCUGCAGUCGAGAAUCUUGGGCAAUGCACGAAAGUGUGACCCAGCGACGCCGCGUGAAGGAUGAAGGCCCUCCGGGUCGUAAACUUCUUUUACGGGGGAAGAACACAAUGACGGUACCCCGUGAAUAAGCCACGGCUAACUACGUGCCAGCAGCCGCGGUAAUACGUAGGUGGCAAGCGUUGUCCGGAUUUACUGGGCGUAAAGGGCAAGCAGGCGGAUCGUUAAGUAGAAAGUGAAAGGUCGGAGCUCAACUCCAACAUUGCUUUCUAUACUGGCGGUCUUGAGUCCCGGAGGGGAGAGCGGAACGACACGUGUAGCGGUGAAAUGCGUUGAUAUGUGUCGGAACACCAAUGGCGAAGGCAGCUCUCUGGACGGGCACUGACGCUCAUUUGCGAAAGCCGAGGUAGCGAACAGGAUUAGAUACCCUGGUAGUCUCGGCCCUAAACGAUGAUCACUAGGUGUCGGGGGGUUUCCCUCGGUGCCGCAGCUAACGCAUUAAGUGAUCCGCCUGGGGACUACGGCCGCAAGGUUGAAACUCAAAGGAAUUGGCGGGGGCCCGCACAAGCGGUGGAGCAUAUGGCUUAAUUCGAUGCAACGCGAAGAACCUUACCCAGGCUUGACAUGCAACUGCAAGC